UCAGGUGGUUAUAACGUUGGGGAUCCACCUCUUCCCAUUCCGAACAGAGAAGUUAAGCCCAACGGUGCCGAUGGUACUGCGGACGCCGCCGUUUUUUAAGAAGAAGAGGGGUAUUAUUUCCC
rnacentral:rRNA from 1 species